CCUACGGGGGGCUGCAGUGGGGAAUAUUGGACAAUGGGGGGAACCCUGAUCCAGCGACGCCGCGUGAGUGAAGAAGUAUUUCGGUAUGUUAAGCUCUAUCAGCAGGGAAGAAAAUGACGGUACCUGACUAAGAAGCCCCGGCUAACUACGUGCCAGCAGCCGCGGUAAUACGGAGGGGGCAAGCGUUAUCCGGAUUUACUGGGUGUAAAGGGGGCGUAGACGGUGCAGCAAGUCUGAUGUGAAAGGUCGGGGCCCAACCCCGGGACUGCAUUGGAAACUGUUGAACUGGAGUACAGGAGAGGUAAGCGGAAUUCCUAGUGUAGCGGUGAAAUGCGUAGAUAUUAGGAGGAACACCAGUGGCGAAGGCGGCUUACUGGACUGUAACUGACGUUGAGGCUCGAAAGCGUGGGGAGCAAACAGGAUUAGAUACCCCUGUAGUC
rnacentral:rRNA from 1 species